rnacentral:rRNA from 2 species
UGGCUCAGAUUGAACGCUGGCGGCAGGCCUAACACAUGCAAGUCGAGCGGAAACGAAGAGGUGCUUGCACCUCUGGCGUCGAGCGGCGGACGGGUGAGUAAUGCUUGGGAAUAUGCCUUAUGGUGGGGGACAACAGUUGGAAACGACUGCUAAUACCGCAUGAUGUCUACGGACCAAAGUGGGGGACCUUCGGGCCUCACGCCAUAAGAUUAGCCCAAGUGGGAUUAGCUAGUUGGUGAGGUAAUGGCUCACCAAGGCGACGAUCCCUAGCUGGUUUGAGAGGAUGAUCAGCCACACUGGGACUGAGACACGGCCCAGACUCCUACGGGAGGCAGCAGUGGGGAAUAUUGCACAAUGGGCGCAAGCCUGAUGCAGCCAUGCCGCGUGUGUGAAGAAGGCCUUCGGGUUGUAAAGCACUUUCAGUAAGGAGGAAAGGUUAAGUGUUAAUAGCACUUAGCUGUGACGUUACUUAC